UUUUUUUUUUAAAAAUCGUCAUAGCCUCACAACUCUUUUCCUCCCUCGUAUUUCUCGGUUUCUCCAUCAAGCUUGAUGGAGCUUCUCGCUCUCAGUGCUCCACCGCUAUCCCUUUCUCCCUCCCAGUGCGACACUGUAGCCCCCACCUACCGCAGCCUACCCCUAUCGCAACCUGUGCUCCCAUAAGGAGUCUGCACUGAUUAUCGCUCCACCGCCUUGCUCACCAGUCCUCCGCCGAACCCACCGAUCCAUGGCCAACCGCCACACCUCGAUCUCCGCUGCAUCGCUACGCCGUCACUUCACUAUACAGCAUUCCUCAAAAAUCCAUAAAAAUUGGUGAAAUGGGUGAUUCGUAAUGAAAGCAGUUGUUAUAACAAGCCCAUGAGGUCCAGAAGUAUAGAAACUAGAAGAGGUAGAAGACCCCCAAAUCAAAGACGAUGAAGUUUUGAUCAAAUUUGAAGCAACUACACUUAAUCAAGCAGCUAUCAUUUAGAGGAAGGGCUCUUUGGAACUAUCCUGCUCUAGAAUUGAAUGUUCUGGAACUAUCCUUCUAUUUGGCAACAAUGUCACUCACUGGAGAGUUGGUGAUCAGGUUACAAACUUUUAACUUUUCUGCUUCAAUUUUCCCAUUAUUUGCAAUUGUUUGGAGGUUGGUGAUUUGGGUUUUCAUAAUUUUCAAUAAUAGCUAGUUAUAAUCUUGACAAUUUUUUAUAUGUGGGGUGUGAUUAACUAGUAGUUCUUGUUCUGGAUGCGAUUAAAUUGAUUGAUUAAUCAUGUUAAUCUGUGCAUUUUCUCUUUGCAUUUGAUAUGGGUUAUUUAUAAUGGAAUGUGAUAAAUUUUGGUUCAAUAAGUUGUUAAUUGAUGGUAGUGGAGGUAACCUAAAUAUUGUUAUAUAAGCUAGAUGUAUGAUUGGUGCAACGGAAUGAUUAGUAAUGCUAAAGAUGAAAUGUAUUUAGAGCUGGCCAAAAUUGCCUCCGAUAGAUUUUAUUUUACCUGUGCUAAAGUUUCUUGUAUCACAUUUUGAACCAUGUGGAUCCUAGUGGGAAAUUGGCAUGACUAGAUUUGCAUUUAACGAACAGCUUUAUACAACAUAGGUUUUAAUUAAUUCAUUAUUACUUGUCUUUAUUCAUUAAAUAAAGAAAUAUAUCUCAUGAAACUAACUAAAAAGAUUGUGUGGGCAUAUUUGCUAUGGAUCAAAAUCACAAAGUUACUUUAAGUGCAAUUGUAAGAUAAUCAGAAUGUGACUAUAUCCUCUUAAUCUAGUAUACUUUUAGUUCAUUUUUGCACAUAAAUCUAUAAUUCCUUAUUUUUGUUUACUCAUUCACUACCCAAGAAAUCAUUGUUGGUCGGACUGCUUAUACAUACUGCUCGCUAAUUCUUGCAGGUAUUUCCCCCAAUUUCUACUUUUUUAUUUCUUCAAUUUCAUAAAUUAGUGUUUUUUCUCACCACAAUGCUCGAUUUGAUGAUCGCUGCACAAUUAAUUAUGUAUUCGGUAAAUUUUGUUUGGGAAGUGCAAAAUUGAUUUAGAAUAAUGGCAGCUUAGAAACUUCCACCCCAUCUUUCAAGCAACCGUAGUAAACAGCUACAAAUCCACCUAUUCCUAGUUCUCUCCGAAAGCCUUUUGUAAGGUUUGUAAGGCUAAGCUGGUUAUUGGUUGUGCAACACAGAAGCUUGUGGUGUGAUUUUUGUAAGCUAGUGAUUUAGUGUUGUGUAACAGAGAAGCUCUGACUCUAUUUUGCAGAUUGAAUUUAAUUGAGGUUUGAUAUUAUAGUAGCAGUUGAAUACCUAUGAGCUGUUGAAUAUUUAGAGGGACAUUCUUAAUUUCAUCAGGACCCAAAUUACAUUUAGUUUACUGUUGUAUUACCCUUAUACUAAGAAUAUGUUAGAAAUUAAUCUAGAUUGCGUUUGUGUGCAGUCAGGUGCUCUUUCUGUGCUUAGGUAUUUAAAUUUGCAGUCACUUAGGUGCUCUUUUGCUCUUUCUGUGCUUAGGUAUUUGAAUUUGCAGUCAGUCAGCUGAUUUUUCUUUUUUCCUGACUCUCUCUCAAUUUUUCUUUUUCUGCUUAAAUUCGUGGAAAAAAAAAAAUUAAUGCCUUGGAAUCUUAUGGUGGUUGGUUUGUAUGUCGUAGUUCUGAAUCCUAUGAUUACCAAACUUAAUGCCUGCAAUACCCUUUCUACUAAGAUUAUGGAAGAUAUUAAUAAUCUAGACUUUGUUUUAUGCGAAGUCAGGUGAUUGGGUGCUCUUUCUCUACUCAGGUGCUCAGGUACUUGAAUCUGCAAUCAGGUGGGAUCAUAAUUGUCUGCCUAACUAAGGUAUUAAGCUCUUAAACCCGUAUUCGAUCCUAAUCAAUGAAAGUGCCCAGUAGAGGUCCUAUGACAUGCAUAAGUCUACACGACAAAGGUUUAUGCAUUUGGCAGAUUGUGCUGACGAUGAUAUAGCCUCAAAGAAUUUGGCGCAGACAGUAGCUAAAAAACUGGUUCUGCUAUAGCUUGUGAUGAUGAUAUAGCCUGAUUCUGCUCUGAGUCAAAGCCUGUUUUUCCGAGUCUAUAUCAUUUUAGCAUGUUACUUAGGCAUCCGUUUAAUAAGUAUCCAAUAAAACAUGUUACUUGGGCAUCCGUUUAAUAAGUAUUCAUUUCAUGAAAAGCAGUAAACGAAAUUGAAAUCACUAUGACGCAUAUAAGGUUUCAAACUUUGGUCACUUGAUUAAUUUUUGUACAAUAUUUUAUGUUUGAUUUUAUUUAGCUUUUUUUAACGUUGGACUCACUAAAGAACUCGAUAUUUGUCAAAUUCACAAUAUCACUGCCUUAUGUUUAUACACCCACAUAUCUUUCUAUUGGCUGUUUAUACAAGUCCCUAGCACAUUUUCAAAUAAGUUUUUUUUUUUUUUUUUGCUCUAUGCCGUAUAUAAAUGGAUCAUUAUUUUACUCUCACAAACAAUAUUUUGGACCUACCGUUAUCUUCUCUCAUCAAUAUUAAACAACCAAAAAUUAAUAAAGUGAGCAUACAUCAUGGGGCAAAAGGGUAGGGGGGUGUAUUAUUAUUGAGUAGAUGUUGUAUGUACAUUUAUAGAUUCAACAACUCUAAACAAAACAGAAGAUGAAAAGGAAUAGAGAAUUAGAGAUAAGCUAAUAGGAGUAUUAGUAUUACGGAUUACUUCUCAUUUUUGCUUGGGCCUAUGUGGCGUUAUCUGAAUUAAUAUCUGAUGUAUGUCAUACUUGAGCCCUGCCAGAGUUUUAGUGGAUACUUAUUAAACAGAUGCCCAUGUGUUACUUGGGCAUCAUGAUUGUGAUUGUGAUAUAGACUUUGGCAGAGACAGUAGCUGAAAUGCAUAGAAGAAUUUGGUAGAGGUGGUAGCUAAAAAACUAGUUUGUGAUAGUUUUAUUUAUGUCUUUUCUGGAGUUUGUGUGACCUACAGGUACAACCUACUGGAUGGGUGCCAUCAAGGAAAGUACUUUUGAUUGUGUGAGAUUACUAAGGCUUCCUUCAGUUGGAGCCUACUGGAUGUCUGCUGCUCUUAGUGUUGUGCGCUGCUUUCAUUGCUGUCUGCUGCUACUGUUAGUUGCUGGUCUGGUCUGCAGAUGCGCGCUGCUUUCAUUGCUGUCUGCUGCAAUCUUUUGUUACUGCUAGCGGUCUAGUCUAGAGACCGAAGUUCAUGACUUUCUUUUUGUUUUGUUUAUUAGAUUACUUAACCAAACAAAAAAAAAUUGGUGUUGGUUGGAUUUUUUGUAAGAAACUAUUAAAUUUGAUCAAUUCAAAUUAUUGGUGUUUCCUGGAU